UACGUAGGGGGCGAGCGUUGUCCGGAAUCAUUGGGCGUAAAGCGCGUGUAGGCGGCCCGGUAAGUCCGCUGUGAAAGUCCAGGGCUCAACCCUGGGAUGCCGGUGGAUACUGUCGGGCUCGAGUCCGGAAGAGGCGAGUGGAAUUCCUGGUGUAGCGGUGAAAUGCGCAGAUAUCAGGAGGAACACCGAUGGCGAAGGCAGCUCGCUGGAACGGUACUGACGCUGAGGCGCGAAAGCGUGGGGAGCGAACAGG
rnacentral:rRNA from 1 species